GAUGAAGAACGUAGCGAAAUGCGAUAAGUAAUGCGAAUUGCAGAAUUUCCGUGAGUCAUCGAAUCUUUGAACGCACAUUGCGCCCCCUGGCAUUCCGGGGGGCAUGCCUGUUCGAGCGUCUCCAGGACGAAUCCUCGCGCGAGUGAACGCGCGGUCGUGGCGGAGGUGGCGUGCCCGAGCAGGGCGGCCACCGCGCUGGAAUCCAUGGGCGGACGCCUGCCGCGUGGCCGAGCGUGAUAUGACGCAUUGGCGCUCGUGCGCGGCGAGGCUGCCAGCCCUGGCCCGUCUGUCGGGCGGGGUAGAUCAACACGUGGGAACUCCUCGAAUCAGGUAGGGAUACCCGCUGAACUUAAGCAUAUCAAUAAGCGGAGGA
rnacentral:misc_RNA from 1 species